rnacentral:rRNA from 1 species
GAUGAACGCUGGCGGCGUGCCUAAUACAUGCAAGUCGAGCGAACAGACGAGGAGCUUGCUCCUCUGACGUUAGCGGCGGACGGGUGAGUAACACGUGGAUAACCUACCUAUAAGACUGGGAUAACUUCGGGAAACCGGAGCUAAUACCGGAUAAUAUAUUGAACCGCAUGGUUCAAUAGUGAAAGACGGUUUUGCUGUCACUUAUAGAUGGAUCCGCCCCGCAUUAGCUAGUUGGUAAGGUAACGGCUUACCAAGGCGACGAUGCGUAGCCGACCUGAGAGGGUGAUCGGCCACACUGGAACUGAGACACGGUCCAGACUCCUACGGGAGGCAGCAGUAGGGAAUCUUCCGCAAUGGGCGAAAGCCUGACGGAGCAACGCCGCGUGAGUGAUGAAGGUCUUCGGAUCGUAAAACUCUGUUAUUAGGGAAGAACAAAUGUGUAAGUAACUAUGCACGUCUUGACGGUACCUAAUCAGAAAGCCACGGCUAACUACGUG